AGUGAACGCUGGCGGUAGGCCUAACACAUGCAAGUCGAACGGCAGCACAGUAAGAGCUUGCUCUUACGGGUGGCGAGUGGCGGACGGGUGAGGAAUACAUCGGAAUCUACUUUUUCGUGGGGGAUAACGUAGGGAAACUUACGCUAAUACCGCAUACGACCUACGGGUGAAAGUAGGGGAUCUUCGGACCUUGCGCGAUUGAAUGAGCCGAUGUCGGAUUAGCUAGUUGGCGGGGUAAAGGCCCACCAAGGCGACGAUCCGUAGCUGGUCUGAGAGGAUGAUCAGCAAACCGGAAAAUGGAAACGGGGCCAAAACCCGACGGGAGGCAGGAGGGGGGAAAAUGGGACAAGGGGCGAAAGCCUGAACAAACCAUACCGGGGGGGUGAAAAAGGCCUUCGGGUUGAAAAGCCUUUUUUUGGGGAAAAAAAAGGAGCAGGUUAAAACCCCGCUGUUCUGGCGGAACCAAAAAAAAAAGCACCGGCAAACUUCGU
rnacentral:rRNA from 1 species